GGAUGAAUUUUCUACCAGAGCAAGGCUCUGUCAUCUGCAUGUCAAGAAUUUCAUUACUGCUCCAUUAAUGCCUUGAGUGCCAGUAUAGAGAAAUCUCUCUCCACUGCUAUCUGUAGCAAAAGAUGACUUCUGUGCUAUCUAUUUGUCCACUAGCAACUUUCGUUUUCGAGAGAAAUCUGGUCGCCAAGAGCUAAAGCAGGGAGAGAGGGAUGAGGGAUGUUGCAGAUGUGGAACCUGAAGCAAGCCCGUUCUGAUGGCCACCAGGGGGAGAAAACUGCCACUGGGAUCAGGAAUACUCUUAUGACCCAAAGUACUUAGAAGAGCAAAUUUGGUUGAGGAACAGGGAAAAAUUCUCUCAGUAAGGAUAAACAGAGAAAAAUAGGCUGCUAAGAGAGGUAGGCUGCUAAAUUCACCAAGAGCUCACAAAAGAACAUAAGGAUUAUUUUUCUUAUUUUGCAAUAGCCUGCUGGUUUGCAAGUCCAUUCAUCUUUGUUCUUUUAUGUCACUACACCUUCCCCAAAAUAUAGAUAUAUGUAUGUAUUUCAUAUGUUCAGAGUUAAUAUGAGCUAAUCAAAAUCUUUCCCAUAAGGAAUCUUU